UUCAGGGGUAAACCUGAGAAACCCGAAAGGUCGAAAGGGGAAAUUCAUUCGCGUUUCGGCCGUCGGCGUUGAAUGGUCGAGUGACGGAUGGCGAUUUCGUCGUCCGCGCCUUCCAUUUUUCGAACCGGCGUCGAACGCGUGCACUUUUCCUCUAGUAGGUCGUCGCGAUCCGUUGGGUGUCGGUCUAAGGCUCGCAGUGGAGUCCGAAUGGACGUUUCGACGUGUCGUUCGGACCUGCGGUGUAUCCCGACCGACUCGCUCGACGGUAUACAGAUGGCGCGGGGCCGCUACUAUUCAAUCAGCGUUCGGCCCACGGCAAGCGCGUUCGGUGUUUGACGGCGAUCGGACCUGGUGCCGGUCCUAUCCCCGAACGACUGUUGGCCGGUGGUGUUCUCGAACAGACCCCGUUCUGAAACGCCGAUCUGCGACGCUAUAGCUUUGGGUACUUUCAGGACCCACGGACCAAGGAGUCUAGCAUGCUCGCAAGUCAUUGGGACAUAACUAAACCUAAAGGCUUAAUGAAAGUGAAGGUCCGCCUUGCGCGGAUCGAGGGAGGAUGAGCGGUUUGCCCUUAAAGUGGCUGCUCCGCACUCCCGGGGCGUCUCGUUCUCAUUGCGAGAAGAGGCGCACCAAUAGC
rnacentral:rRNA from 1 species